rnacentral:rRNA from 1 species
UCGAGGGGUAUUGGUUUUCGGACCAGAGACCGGCGCACGGGUGCGUAACGCGUAUGCAAUCUACCUUUUACAGAGGGAUAGCCCAGAGAAAUUUGGAUUAAUACCUCAUAGUAUUACGACUCGGCAUCGAGAUGUAAUUAAAGUCACAACGGUAAAAGAUGAGCAUGCGUCCCAUUAGUUUGUUGGUAAGGUAACGGCUUACCAAGACUACGAUGGGUAGGGGUCCUGAGAGGGAGAUCCCCCACACUGGUACUGAGACACGGACCAGACUCCUACGGGAGGCAGCAGUGAGGAAUAUUGGUCAAUGGGCGCAAGCCUGAACCAGCCAUGCCGCGUGCAGGAUGAAGCAUCUAUGGUGUGUAAACUGCUUUUGUACAGGAAGAAACACUCGGUCGUGACCGAGCUUGACGGUACUGUAAGAAUAAGGACCGGCUAACUCCGUGCCAGCAGCCGCGGUAAUACGGAGGGUCCAAGCGUUAUCCGGAAUCAUUGGGUUUAAAGGGUCCGUAGGCGGUUUUGUAAGUCAGUGGUGGAAGCCCAUCGCUCAACGGUGGAACGGCCAUUGAUACUGCAAGACUUGAAUUAUUGGGAAGUAACUAGAAUAUGUAGUGUAGCGGUGAAAUGCUUAGAGAUUACAUGGAAUACCAAUUGCG